UUGAACGCUGGCGGCAGGCCUAACACAUGCAAGUCGAACGGUAACAGGAAGAAGCUUGCUUCUUUGCUGACGAGUGGCGGACGGGUGAGUAAUGUCUGGGAAACUGCCUGAUGGAGGGGGAUAACUACUGGAAACGGUAGCUAAUACCGCAUAACGUCGCAAGACCAAAGAGGGGGACCUUCGGGCCUCUUGCCAUCGGAUGUGCCCAGAUGGGAUUAGCUAGUAGGUGGGGUAACGGCUCACCUAGGCGACGAUCCCUAGCUGGUCUGAGAGGAUGACCAGCCACACUGGAACUGAGACACGGUCCAGACUCCUACGGGAGGCAGCAGUGGGGAAUAUUGCACAAUGGGCGCAAGCCUGAUGCAGCCAUGCCGCGUGUAUGAAGAAGGCCUUCGGGUUGUAAAGUACUUUCAGCGGGGAGGAAGGGAGUAAAGUUAAUACCUUUGCUCAUUGACGUUACCCGCAGAAGAAGCACCGGCUAACUCCGUGCCAGCAGCCGCGGUAAUACGGAGGGUGCAAGCGUUAAUCGGAAUUACUGGGCGUAAAGCGCACGCAGGCGGUUUGUUAAGUCAGAUGUGAAAUCCCCGGGCUCAACCUGGGAACUGCAUCUGAUACUGGCAAGCUUGAGUCUCGUAGAGGGGGGUAGAAUUCCAGGUGUAGCGGUGAAAUGC
rnacentral:rRNA from 1 species